rnacentral:lncRNA from 1 species
GUGAGCCCAAGCAUUCAAGUCCAGCCGGUCCAUGCGAUCACGGGAGACCCCAGCCCAUUCCAAGCUUCACGCGAUGAAGCCAUCAACAGCCCGCGUUCUUCACGCGGUGAACGUCCCAGCAGCCGGUUUCCAGCUCCUUCCGUCGGCUCCACCCUCUUCCUGAAACCCAGCAACCUCCCACGCUCGUCCGACUGCAAGCGAGAUCCAAGCAUCGCGCCUAGCCAUCCCGCCGUCCACGACACCUCCAAGCCAUCCUCCACGGCAGAUCAGCCAUUCUCCCAGUGAUCCCGCAGGCUUUCAUUUCUUCCGUUUCUCGCCAUCAAGGAACCGCACCAGAUCAGCAUCUCAGCCUUCCGUUGUCCAUGAUGCAUCUGGCUCCACCCUCUUCCGGAUUCCCAGCAUCAACCCGUCCGCAGCUCCUCCCAGCGAUCCUGCAACAUCCCAGCUCUUCCGUGACCCAAGCACCGCGUCCAUGAUCGGCUCCUCCUAGGGAUCCCAUGGCGUCCUCUCGUCGAUCCCGCGGCAUCAGCCUCCUUCCCGUGAUCCCAGCGCCUCACAGCCGCUCCAGCCGACCGCAUUACCUCCCGGCUUCUUCCGCCCGUGAUGCAUCCAUGAUCCAAUUAUCUCCGCAUCCAAGCAAUCCCACGGAUCAAGCUCCUGCGUCCGCUCCGUGUCCCGGCAAAUCCCCCAAGACCCGCGACUGUUACCCCUCCAUCAAGGGAUCCAUCGCUGGCCAAACAAGGAUGGGCGACCUAUAAGAGGAGGGUGGAGGUGUUCGGCUGGAGAAGUGUUUGGUCGAGCCAAAGAACAGAGGAAGCUCUGUUUUGGGGAAGAAAAGAAAAAAAAAGAAAAGAAAAAGAGAGAAUAUUUUAUUUGUUUUGGUUUGAGUUUUUUUUUUGUAAAGCAAUGUUUUUUUUUAGUUUGAAUUUUGAUUGAAAGUCUUAUGUUGAGAGGUUUUGUUUUAAGUUUUAAUUUUAGAGAGUUUUAUUUUGGUGGAGAGUUUUACUUUUAAGAAUUUUUAGUUAUGCUGUAAUUUUAAUUUUUUUAUGCAAUACAUUAAAUCUCCAUUUAUGCAAUUUAUGUUCGCUUCAAUCUUCUUAGUUUCAUCCAUUUUAAUUUAUGCCAAAUCUCUUCUUUGAUUAAUUAUAUAUAUAAAUGCUUUUCGAAUCUAAGUACUUGUCUUUUAGUUAAUUUCAAUUAGAAAACAUUCUCUGGUAGGCGAGAGAAUAAUUCAACAUCCCCGACGUAAUGUUUUUCUUUUAUCAUUCAAAAAUUGGUUUCGAAUCCGAGUGAAUGUUUUAAUUUUUAUGCAACUCCAAUCGCUUCUCUGUGGAUCGACCUCUUACAAUCACUAUUCUUCGAGUAAAACAGGUAAGAGUAAAAUUAAUUUAAACUUUGUUUGUCGGUUCUAACAACGAUCUAUUUAGCAUAUUUUUAGGUAAACAGGAAUCGGACAACACUGAACAAAGCCUCACCGGUGGGGUUCCGGUGAGGACCCUCCGAUGAUGAAGUUAGAGUAGAUUUUAGGUGGUCUAGCCAAACAAUCCUUAGGCGUUACCUGAUGGGACUAUUUAUAGUUUCCGUAGAGGUGCCCUGAUGGCGUGCAACUAGGGCUUACUUGAGGCAUACGAUGUAGGUCAUUCUUGUGAACGACAUGACGUUGACAGAGGUGGCAGGGUAUGGUCCUUGAUUGACAUGUUGUAGAGUGGCCAGCAAGCAAAGCAUGGCGCGAUGAGGUUGUAAUGUAUGGCUAUGUAUGUGGGCAUAGGGGGCGCGUAGGUGCGCAUGCGGAUGUGACCGUGGGCGAGGUUGGGCUCGCUUGGAGAACGCAGCCUUUACUUAGUGAAGUUAGCUUGAUGAGCACUAACGUCGGGCCGACUAAGAGGGUUGCGACAUAUAUUUGGUGAGGUUGGCUCGGCGGACUUUGAGGUCGACCCAACCUCCUCGGCGCUAAAGUUAGCUCAGUAGGGGGGCCCGAUCGAGCCAGGGCAUCAUUGUAGAUAGUUACGGUUGACGGAGCCUAUUCGGCUCUUGAUCGAUCUUGCAGGACGCCCGAGCUCGGCUCGAGGGGCAUCAUCG